CCCAGCAGUGUGGGAGCCCAGGACCAGGCUGCUUGGGGCCCGGGAUCCCUGCUGGACACAGCUCUCUAUGUAUCCUGUCACAUCCGGGGAAGUCAGCAGGUGGGAACAUCCAGGAAAAAAUAGAACCGUGAAGCUGUCUUCCCAGCAGGCUUGUUUGCUGGGCGCUGGCACUGGGCCCUCUCCGGGCCAGGUGUGAGAGUAGGGAGAGAAGCCCAGGCCUUACCCUCAAAGGGUGUACAGUCUAGAAGAGGGCACGGAUGUGGAAACACCUCAGUGUGUCUUCAUGAGAAAACUGAAAAAAGGAAGGAAGUGAGGUAAGGAGGGAUAAGCAUACAAAAUAGAUCAAGAAUCUAACCACUUCUCCCCCUGCCCCCACUCACUGUCACCACCUUUGUCUCUCGAUUAGCCCAGAUUAUUGCAGCGGGGUCCUCAGCACUGCAGGCCUGCUCCUACCACAGGGGUUUGGGACUUGCUGCUCCCAUUGCCCUCGGACAGGUGUCCUUAUGAUUCAGCAUCUUUGUGUCUCUGUCCAAAUGUCCCUUCUCAGGGAGGCUUCCCUCUCAUCAAGGCCGCCCAGUUACAGUUCACAAGGUUCCUUUCUCUGCCAGCCCACAAAUGCUGUGGUAGGUGCAGUCCAGGUGGUUUCUCUCACAGACUCCUCACAGCCUGCUCUCCUGAGGCCUUCAGGACAGGUUUCCCAUUGGCCUCGGCUAGAGACAGUUUUCAUAGCCCUUAACCUUGCUAAUGUCAGCCAGUACCCUGGAAUCAAUCCUGCUUCCUUCAACUUACUUACCUGGAGCUGGUCCUCUCCUGUAUGGGGGCGUGGGAAAUUCCAGCAGAGCCUGGGUGCACCCUGCCCCCUUGACUGAGCUUAGCCCUGACCUACUGUAGCAGGCCUGGGUAACUGGUCACCAAACUCAUGUCCUCCUCUUCCUGGGCACCGAGCUGGAAUACACUUCCACCUCCUUCGUCAUCAAGGGUGGCCAACGGAGUGUGAGCUGAAGCCAUGCGUCUCUCCUGUGGGCUGAGGACAUUAAGAAACACACGUGCCUCGUCUACCUCCCUUUCCCCUGCUGCCGCGAUCACGUGGCCUAGGAGAUGGUGGAGUCCUGGGGACAGAAGGAGCUGGAGUGCCUGGAUCUCCCCUUAGAGGCAGGCUGCCUGCCAGUCAGAGUACCCACCUUGGACUUCAUGCUUCCAGGGAUGACAGCCGCUGAUGAGUGAACGCUCUCUGCUCCGGAGAUCUGCGUGCUGCUGUGGAAAGCAGCCUGGCAAUGCAGGAAGGCUCUUCCCAUGACCUUUCUGGAAGCCUGAAUCCAACAGCGUGUGACUUUGGGCGAGACUCCAGCUUUACCGAGAUUCAGUUUCCCCAUCCUUAAAAUGGGAGCAGUAGCCUCUGGCCAGGCCACCUCACAGAGGAAAAGGCGGGAAGCCCCGACCUACAGGAGCAGCUACGCUGAGCGGGUCUCUACGUACAUUACCUCUAGUUUAGUACUGAGGUAGGGAAACUGAGGCACACAGAGGUUUCAAAGUAACCUGCUUAAGUUCACCCAAUUAGGUAAGUAGUUGCCUCCACUCCUGACUUGGUCCUCCCCAUCUUCUCUCCCUUGUGAGUGGCACCACCACCCACCCAGGAGCUCAAAUCCGAGAACUCAGGUUAUGGCUGACUCCUUGUUUGCCUGCAUCUCCCAAAGCCCAGUUACUUUACCCCUCGCCUCCCCAGACAGCUGCCCGAUCCAGCCCUUCCUUCCAUGUCUGUAGCCACCAGUCUGGUCCAAGACCUCUGCACACCUCUCUGGGACUUCUGCGUUAACCCCCUCAGUGGUCUCACCCUCCAAGAGCAUCUUCUAGAAAUGCACAUCUGACCAUGCCAAAUCCCAGGUUAAGAGAGAUCAGUGGCUUCCUACUGCUCCUGUGACAAAACCUUGCUGUGGUCCAGCCAGCAAGAGCCAGCCUCAUCUUGAAUGCCAUCUGCCCACCCGUCUCCUCUCCAUUCCAGUCAGGGCAGAAUUCUCCUUGGUCCGUGAACGCUCACCAACUCCCUCCUUGGUGGGAGCGGCCUUUGUAUAUGCUGUUCCUUCUGUGUGCGAUACUUUUCCUUCCCCGCUUCACCUAGUGUAGCCUUGAUCACCCUUCAUGUCUCAGGUCCAGUGUCACUUCUUUGAAAACUUGUCCCUGACCUCUGUGACAAGGUAACACCCCUUACAUCCCUCAACACCGUUACUAAUCUCUGUCUACUUGAGCUGUUAUUUGGUGAACAUGCAUCUCCUUUCCAUGACUUGAAGCUCUGUGAGGACAGGAACGGCGACCAUUUUGCUCACCAUUGAAACCAGUGCCUGCACCAUGUCUGACCCAUAGCAGAACUUCUACAUUGGCUGAGUGAGGCAAUCCUUGAAAGUGGAACUUGAAAUCCAAGUGCGCCUGGCUCCUCGCUCACCAACGUUGUGAGGAAUUGUAUUCGUCUGCUCAGGCCACCAUGGCAAGAGACCGCAGACUGGGUGGCUUAACCAACAGGAAUGUAUUCUGUCAUCAUUCUAGAGGCUGGAAGACCCAAGUUAAGGUGCUGGCAGACGUGGCUUCCAGUGAGACCUGUCUCCUCAGCUUGCAAACGCACAUUCUUGCUGCGCCCUCAUGUAGCCUUCUCUGUGUGCACCCAAGGAGAGAGAGGGAGAAAUCUGUUGUCCUUUCUUAUAAAGACACCAGGAGGGGCAUCCAGGUAGUUGAGUUGUUAGGCAUCUGCCUUCUGCUCAAGUCAUGAUCCCAGGAUUCUGGGAUCC